CUCACCUGCCACCAUGAGGGUGAAAUCAAAGCCCUUCUUCACAGAUUUCCGGUGCACCUGGUUGGGGAGCGUGGCGAACCCCACAUACUGCUUUUCGUGGUCAAGGUGAUCCGAGGGUUGUAGGUUGCCUCCAUUCCUCU